rnacentral:rRNA from 2 species
GGAUGAACGCUGGCGGCGUGCCUAAUACAUGCAAGUCGAACGAGUUCUCGUUGAUGAUCGGUGCUUGCACCGAGAUUCAACAUGGAACGAGUGGCGGACGGGUGAGUAACACGUGGGUAACCUGCCCUUAAGUGGGGGAUAACAUUUGGAAACAGAUGCUAAUACCGCAUAGAUCCAAGAACCGCAUGGUUCUUGGCUGAAAGAUGGCGUAAGCUAUCGCUUUUGGAUGGACCCGCGGCGUAUUAGCUAGUUGGUGAGGUAAUGGCUCACCAAGGCGAUGAUACGUAGCCGAACUGAGAGGUUGAUCGGCCACAUUGGGACUGAGACACGGCCCAAACUCCUACGGGAGGCAGCAGUAGGGAAUCUUCCACAAUGGACGCAAGUCUGAUGGAGCAACGCCGCGUGAGUGAAGAAGGCUUUCGGGUCGUAAAACUCUGUUGUUGGAGAAGAAUGGUCGGCAGAGUAACUGUUGUCGGCGUGACGGUAUCCAACCAGAAAGCCACGGCUAACUACGUGCCAGCAGCCGCGGUAAUACGUAGGUGGCAAGCGUUAUCCGGAUUUAUUGGGCGUAAAGCGAGCGCAGGCGGUUUUUUAAGUCUGAUGUGAAAGCCCUCGGCUUAACCGAGGAAGCGCAUCGGAAACUGGGAAACUUGAGUGCAGAAGAGGACAGUGGAACUCCAUGUGUAGCGGUGAAAUGCGUAGAUAUAUGGAAGAACACCAGUGGCGAAGGCGGCUGUCUGGUCUGUAACUGACGCUGAGGCUCGAAAGCAUGGGUAGCGAACAGGAUUAGAUACCCUGGUAGUCCAUGCCGUAAACGAUGAAUGCUAGGUGUUGGAGGGUUUCCGCCCUUCAGUGCCGCAGCUAACGCAUUAAGCAUUCCGCCUGGGGAGUACGACCGCAAGGUUGAAACUCAAAGGAAUUGACGGGGGCCCGCACAAGCGGUGGAGCAUGUGGUUUAAUUCGAAGCAACGCGAAGAACCUUACCAGGUCUUGACAUCUUUUGAUCACCUGAGAGAUCAGGUUUCCCCUUCGGGGGCAAAAUGACAGGUGGUGCAUGGUUGUCGUCAGCUCGUGUCGUGAGAUGUUGGGUUAAGUCCCGCAACGAGCGCAACCCUUAUGACUAGUUGCCAGCAUUUAGUUGGGCACUCUAGUAAGACUGCCGGUGACAAACCGGAGGAAGGUGGGGAUGACGUCAAAUCAUCAUGCCCCUUAUGACCUGGGCUACACACGUGCUACAAUGGAUGGUACAACGAGUUGCGAGACCGCGAGGUCAAGCUAAUCUCUUAAAGCCAUUCUCAGUUCGGACUGUAGGCUGCAACUCGCCUACACGAAGUCGGAAUCGCUAGUAAUCGCGGAUCAGCACGCCGCGGUGAAUACGUUCCCGGGCCUUGUACACACCGCCCGUCACACCAUGAGAGUUUGUAACACCCGAAGCCGGUGGCGUAACCCUUUUAGGGAGCGAGCCGUCUAAGGUGGGACAAAUGAUUAGGGUGAAGUCGUA